rnacentral:lncRNA from 1 species
GAGAAGUAUCUUUGCGGCUAACUUUGGCUUGGGGAAUGGAGCUUCGUUCUUCAUCCAUUUGUCUUGAAAAGAACCUGGAUUAUAAUAAGCGGCACUGCUUUAGAUCCGAGUAUGACCCAGUUGUUAUGCUCUAUGUCUAGAUGUCUCCCUAAAGCCACUUGUGAUCAUUGCUGGGAUCUUUGGAAGGUGAUUGGCUAAUAGGCGUGGACUGGCUGACUUGCUGUUAGGAGGUUCCAACCUGCCGGAAGGGGCGGGUCACCGUGGCCAAGACCUGGAAGGUCAUAGCUCCUGUCACCCUCUCUGCUUCCUGUCAGCCAUGCUGUCUGCAGAAGUGUGUACACAGGACUUGCCCGGUUUAUGGUCAUCACUUAUCCCAAGUGCUGUCAUGGAAACCCUUC